UGCAGCGGAGGAGACUCUCCGCUGCCCCUCUUCCACCACCGGCAACGUCUCCCCCACCCUCUCUGUCCAACCCAGUUUCCAGAUUUGGUUGCUGCAGGUAAGAUUCUUCUCAUUUUUUUCCUCCAAAAGUGUGAUUGCCCAGUAGAUCUAUCUAGGUUGAACAAGUUUAUGUCUAACCUGUCAUAUUUAUUCACAGAUUUUAUCUGCUUGCUUCAAAAAUGAAAUGUGGCGUUUGCUUGCUGAUAAGUUCGGUUAUGGUGUGGGCGUGUGAGCGUCUAUUACUCAAGAUGAUUUCAUAUCAUAUCAUCAAUUUCAGGAACCUUAUCUCAUCUGUCGUUGAGUUCAGAACAUAUCAUUGGCAUUGUAGCUUCAAGAGACAUGUAUGUUGCUUAUCGUUUUGCCUACUGAGCACACAAAACAAAUGUGUAUAUCAAUAUAUUUAAGUGAAACAACAUGCUCCCAUUUUUGGUCAAUCAGUGGAUCUGACUAAUACAUAAUUACAUAUAUGUGUGAGAUAUUAUUCAUGUGUUAUUUUUCAUAAUUCGAGUGCUGAUAAUGAUGGUCUCAGAUGGUUUGUGUAUUAACUUGCAUCUACAAAUACUGAGUAGAGGGUUGCCUUUUGUGUAGGAAUUUGCAGCAGGUCUGAUCCCUUGCCUUUGCUCUCUGCUUGUCCUCACUCCUUAGACCUCCCCUUUGCUUGUCACCAUACAUUUUAUUCAGAGCAGUGUCCAGAUGCAUCCCCUCUGCCUAGAUGAUGGGGAGAGGGCCUAAGCGGUAGGUGAGCUCC
rnacentral:lncRNA from 1 species